rnacentral:rRNA from 1 species
UACGGGGGGGGCAAGCGUUGUUCGGAAUUACUGGGCGUAAAGGGCUUGUAGGUGGCCAACUAAGUCAGACGUGAAAUCCCUCGGCUUAACCGGGGAACUGCGUCUGAUACUGGAUGGCUUGAGUGCAGGAGAGGAACGCGGAAUUCCAGGUGUAGCGGUGAAAUGCGUAGAUAUCUGGAGGAACACCGGUGGCGAAGGCGGCGUUCUGGACUGCAACUGACACUGAGGAGCGAAAGCCAGGGGAGCAAACGGG